rnacentral:tRNA from 4 species
GCCCACGUAGCUCAGUUGGUAGAGCGCAUCCUUGGUAAGGAUGAGGUCACCGGUUCAAAUCCGGUCGUGGGCUCCA